rnacentral:lncRNA from 1 species
GGCGCUAGGCUGGGUGUUGGGGCUUUGCUCGGGCCGCCGCAGGGGUCUCGGGCGGGCUUGGGGUUCGAACUGGCGCGAGUCCCGGUUAAACUCCGUGUUCUGGCUGCGUGGCUCAGGAAGCGGGCUCUCUUUGCUAAUUCAAGCACAGCCCUUUCAUCUGGAGCAAAUGCGUAGUGAGUGCACACGGGGCGUCACCACAGAAUCUUGGGGGGGGGUCCCCCGGAAAGCAAGACGGACGCGACUCCCGCCUCGCUAACCUUGCUAGUGAAGGAGAAAGGCAGUGUGCAUUGAAAAGCGCCAACGCUUUUCUACCCCAAGGACGAGAAGUGUAAGAAGGAAACGCCCCGACAUAUCCAUGAAUGAAACUCCCCGUUUUAUGGCAGUGCACGGCAUCCCUAGACAACACUUACUGCACAUUACCAAUAACACUGGCUAUGAACCUGUGAAGUCACAAAAUUCACGGGGUUAACACCUAGGAGGACGCUUUAUCCUUCCGGAGACAGAACGUUCUCGUGAAUGGUGCAAUCCGAUCGCCGAGGAACCCGAGUUUUUUUUUUUUUUUUUCUGCACCCGAGGCUCGGUUGCUGGGAAACAAGCAAGCACUUAGAGCCGGCUGAGCGAGGCAGAAGGCGUUCAGUCCCAAGAAUGACUUUGACCUUCUUAAGAUGGCGUUUCGACCUUAACCACAGACACCACGCUCACACGACUUCCGCUGUGGCCGCCACUUCCGGUUCAAAGACCCAACAGCUGUCCAAAGUUGUAACGGAAUUCACGUUAUGCUCAUGAGCCUUUUUCCCCCGACAUUGCCUCCUUUAGAAAUAUAAAGAUAUAUCCGCGGUGGUUAUUUUACGGGUUUCCCGCCUCUCCAGGCCCUCCGUGCCGCUUCUAGUGCUGACGAAGCGGCGUUCUGAUUAGGCGGACGCCGCGGACAGCCCGACGUUCGCCGGGCUUCGGCGGGCGAGGGAAGACCCGAGACUCGCAAGCUGCGCAAGAUGGCGACUGCGGCUGCAGCCUCUGCGUCCGAGCCGGAGGUUGAGCCCCAGGCGGGGCCUGAGGCCGAGGGAGGGGAGGAUGAGGCGAAGGCAGCCAGUGCGGACAGGAAUGUGCAGUCCCGCGCUGUGGCCUCCGACGCGGCCAAGACCAAAGGGCCAGGGUGGGACCUGCAGCGGGAAGGCGUGAGCGAGAGUGACGGGGAUGAGGAGGACGCCAUGGCUUCCUCCGCUGAGAGCUCCCCCGGGGAGGACGAGUGGGAGUACGACGAGGAGGAGGAGAAAAACCAGCUGGAAAUCGAGCGGCUGGAGGAGCAGCUGUCCAUCAACGGCUAUGACUACAACUGCCAUGUGGAGCUGAUCAGGCUGCUGCGGCUGGAAGGGGAGCUCAACAAAGUGAGGAUGGCCCGACAGAAGAUGAGCGAGCUCUUCCCCUUGACUGAAGGUAACGCUGCCCCGGGGGUGGGGGUGAGGGGCUGCUUUUGGUUCAGAGAGCUGAGGUGAAGGAGAUAAAGGAAGCCAGCUGCUUCUCAUUUCAUUGCCUUAGACAGUGUUCUGUGCUGCAGAUUCACAUGUGGAACAUUAUGAGAAACAGUUUCUUUAACGUAAUUUAACUUCACUGUGGUCACUGUCCCAUUCCACAGAUGUGUACUUAGCCUAUGCUCAUAGUGCUAUGGAAUUGUAAAUUUAGGUAAACAUUUAUAGUUUUAAAAUCUCUUUUUAAAAAUCUUUAUGUGUAUGGGUGUUUUUGCCUGCAUAUAUGUGUAUGUGCACCAGGUGGCCAGAAGAGGGAGCCAGAUGCCCUGGAACUGGAGUUCUAGACAGUUGUGAGCCACUGUGUGGGUGCUGGGAAUCAAACCUGGGUCCUGUGGAAGAGCAUCCAGUGCUCUUAACCACUGAGCCAUCUUUACAGACUCUAAACUGAAAUAGUUUUAAAUGCAGUUGUUUCAUUUUGGUACAGUAAUUGUACAUUUUGUUUACUUCCACGCAUUUGCUUCUGAGAAAUAUACUUGUAGGAAUUGGCUCUGUGACUGGGUCUUUUUUUUUUGUUUUUUUUGAGACA